GAUCAUGGCUCAGGAUGAACGCUAGCUACAGGCUUAACGCAUGCAAGUCGAGGGGCAGCAUGAACUUAGCUUGCUAAGUUUGAUGGCGACCGGCGCACGGGUGAGUAACACGUAUCCAACCUGCCGAUGACGUCGGGGAUAGCCUUUACGAAAGAAAGAUUAAUACCCGAUGGCAUAGUUCUUCCGCAUGGUAGAACUAUUAAAGAAUUUCGGUCAUCGAUGGGGAUGCGUUCCAUUAGGUUUGG
rnacentral:rRNA from 1 species